rnacentral:rRNA from 1 species
GUGGGGAAUUUUGGACAAUGGGGGCAACCCUGAUCCAGCCAUGCCGCGUGCGGGAAGAAGGCCUUCGGGUUGUAAACCGCUUUUGUCAGGGAAGAAAUCCUUUGGGUUAAUACCUCGGAGGGAUGACGGUACCUGAAGAAUAAGCACCGGCUAACUACGUGCCAGCAGCCGCGGUAAUACGUAGGGUGCGAGCGUUAAUCGGAAUUACUGGGCGUAAAGCGUGCGCAGGCGGUUUUGUAAGAUCGAUGUGAAAUCCCCGGGCACAACCUGGGAACUGCAUUGGUGACUGCAAGGCUGGAGUGCGGCAGAGGGGGAUGGAAUUCCGCGUGUAGCAGUGAAAUGCGUAGAGAUGCGGAGGAACACCAAUGGCGAAGGCAAUCCCCUGGGCCUGUACUGACGCUCAUGCACGAAAGCGUGGGGAGCAAACAGGAUUAGAAACCCGGGUAGUCC